CAGUGAGACAAAAGUAACAAAUGAGCUUUAUUAUUGCCAUUGUGGCUCAGUUUUAACAGUAAGAGUGCUAGCGCUAGCAGCAUUGCUAAUGCUAGCUGCAAUGCUAACGCUAGCUGCAGUGCUAACACUAACUGAAGUGCUAAUGCUAGCCGGAAUGCUAGCGCUAGCAGCAAUGCUAAGGCUAGUAACAGUCGAACAGUAGCCUUACAUAAGUGGAAAUACUUCAGGAACUUGACUGACAUCUGUGCUUUGCCUGUGUGCAGAAGAACAAGGACCAGAUCUCCAGUCUUCUCUGUCACAUCCCAACCCCCAUCCCCUCUAUCCUCUGUCCUGCUCCACCUGUUGUCUCUGCCUUCUUUCCAUCUGUAUUUCACCCUGUGGUUUGUGAGAAAUUUUGCCAAACCAAGAAU